rnacentral:rRNA from 1 species
UACGUAGGGGGCAAGCGUUGUCCGGAAUCAUUGGGCGUAAAGAGCGUGUAGGCGGCUCGGUAAGUCCGCUGUGAAAGUCCAGGGCUCAACCCUGGAAUGCCGGUGGAAACUGUCGAGCUAGAGUCCGGAAGAGGCGAGUGGAAUUCCUGGUGUAGCGGUGAAAUGCGCAGAUAUCAGGAAGAACACCGAUGGCGAAAGCAGCUCUCUGGGACGGUACUGACGCUGAGGCGCGAAAGCGUGGGGAGCGAACAGG